rnacentral:rRNA from 1 species
AUGGCAGAUGCCAUUGUUGGGCCGCUGCUUAGCAAGCUGCAGGCGGUAGCGGUGACGGAAACGAAGGCCCUAGCCGCGGUGGGCAAUGAGAUUGACCGCCUCCGUGACAAGCUCAUGUGGCUGCAUGCGCUAGUUCAUGAGACUGACCUACGCAGCCGGUCUGACGGCAACCAGCAAAUCCGCGUGCUCGCGUGCCAGGUGCGCGAGGUUGCCUUCGCAGCUGAGGACGCCAUCGACCAUUUCUUCCUGGAGGCCGACCUCUCCCGCUUCAGCCUCAAUUGGUGGCGUGCGACCGCCAUUUUCUUUUCUAACUUCGGCACUCAGAUCAGCGUCCGGUACACCCUCUCCCGGAAGAUCAAGUCCAUGAAUGUCCGGCUAGAGGAUAUUGUCGACAACAGUGCCAAAUAUCGUAGCGACAAUGGAAGUACAAACGUGAUCACAUGGAGGGCGUCGCGUGCCAUCCCUCUGGUCCGCCAAAACUGGGACGUCACAGACUUUGAGGAGAACCAAAAGGCUGUGCCAAUACGCAAGGACGAAGAAAAGGAAUUGCAUGACCUCCUCCUUGUCAAAAAUGAAAGCCGUGUGAUUUAUGUGGUUGGAGAGAGUGGUAUCGGGAAAAGGUAUCUGGCAGAGAAAGCAUACGAAAAUGAAACCAUUAAGAAGAAUUUUGAGGUAUGUAUGUGGGUGAGCUUUCCACAAGACACCAGUAACAUCACUGAUCAAGUAGAAAGAAAGCUGGAAGAUGAGUGCUCCAAGCUACAACCUAGCGGGAAGAAUAUAGACCAAGUGAAGUACUUGGUUGUGGUAGAUUGCCAAAUGAGCAGCACCAUACUCGAGGCACAGAAUUGGCUCAAGGCCGGCAGAGAAGGUAGCAAGAUUGUGCUGACAGCGACGUCCAGUCCCUGUGCUGAUGACAUCGUUGAGCUUCGUUGUCUACCCAAAGAUACGAGCGAGAAGUUGUUCAACAGGAUCCUUGGCGUCCGGGGGCGCCGGAUGAGUAAUUACAAGACAGAAAUGAUGGAUACGAUCCGUAAAGACAUUGAAAAGAUAACCAAGGGACUACCACUCGCGGUGGUUCUUCUUGCCAAGCUCAUGAGGACAAUGGACUACAGCAAGUGGGAGGCAGCAUCGAAGUACCUAAAGGAGAACAACCAAGACGACCUGCUCAUGACCAUAGUGUCCAUGAGCAUCGAUGACCUCCCCAACGAACACAGGUCGUGCUUGCUCUACACGGCAGGCUUCCCGGAGCGCAGCACAAUCGAUGCUGGCCAACUAGUGCGCCUUUGGGCGGCGGAGGGCUUCCUAAUUCAGCAGCCUGGGGUGGAACAAGAAGAGCUGGGCCAGCGUUACCUCAAGGAGUUUAUCUUCCGAGGCCUUAUGCAGCUGGUGAAGAAGAAAGCAGACGUCGUGGAAUCAGUAGCUAUUCAUGACCAGGUCUAUGAGAUUCUCAGGUCCGAGGCGCAGCGCAUUGGCCUAAUGGAAACCCACUAUGGUGGUGGCUAUGCCCAUGCCACAGUCAACGCGAAGCGCCUAGCUCUCAACAACAACAAAAUGCCGUACAAAACAAAGGUGCUUUGGAAGGUGAGAACCGUGCUGUCCCAUGAUGCACAAGGUAUGAUGGGAGGUGCCAAGCUGCCAAGGGGAGCUCAUGAUGCCAAGCUCAUCAAAGGGUCACAAGAAGUCAAGGAAGGCUCCAACCAGCUGCUCAAGGAAUCCACCUCCAAUGAUGCACAAGCAGGACCACAGGAGUUCAAGGAAGGCUUGAGGCAGUUGCUCAAGCAAUCCAUAUUCCUUCGCGUCAUCAGCCUAGAGGGCAUCAACAUUGGUGAGAAGCUGCCAAGUCGAAUCGGGGACAUGCUGCACCUACAGUACCUCAGUGUCCGGUGCCCGAGCUUGACAACGGUGCCAGACACCAUCGGCAAACUGAAGAAGCUCCAGACAAUGGAUGUGAGAGGGACGCGGGUGAAAUUUUUGCCCAUGUCUUUCUGGAAAAUCAAAACAUUGCGCCAUGUUCUAGGCAACCGCGAUCUCCGGUUCCAUGAGUAUAGCCAAGCAUCUGAAGAUGUUGUCGACGAUGGGUCAAGCGUGCAUCUGACAAUUAAAGAGCAUGUUGAUAACAUGCACAUCUCCCGUAGGAACUUGUGGGUGCUUGUUACUAGUACGUGUCGUCAAUUAUGA